rnacentral:rRNA from 1 species
AUUGAACGCUGGCGGCAGGCCUAACACAUGCAAGUCGAACGAGCGGCGGACGGGUGAGUAAUGUCUGGGAAACUGCCUGAUGGAGGGGGAUAACUACUGGAAACGGUAGCUAAUACCGCAUACCAUCGGAUGUGCCCAGAUGGGAUUAGCUAGUAGGUGGGGUAAAGGCUCACCUAGGCGACGAUCCCUAGCUGGUCUGAGAGGAUGACCAGCCACACUGGAACUUAGACACGGUCCAGACUCCUACGGGAGGCAGCAGUGGGGAAUAUUGCACAAUGGGCUCAAGCCUGAUGCAGCCAUGCCGCGUGUAUGAAGAAGGCCUUCGGGUUGUAAAGUACUUUCAGCGGGGAGGCGUUACCCGCAGAAGAAGCUCCGGCUAACUCCGUGCCAGCAGCCGCGGUAAUUC